rnacentral:rRNA from 1 species
UCCAGUUGAUCCUGCUGGCGGCUGCGGCUCUUUGAUUUGCACUUAGACAUGCAAGUUUUUCUAGUUUCAUUAGAAAUUGGAUGGCGAACUGCUCAGUAACACGUAGCUAACCUACUCUUAGGUCAAGGAUACCCUCGGGAAACUGAGGUUAAUACUUGAUAAGAGACAUACCCUGGAAUGAUUUGUCUCUAAAAUUCGAGCCUAAGAAUGGGGCUGCGGCGGAUUAGGUUGUUGGCGGGGUAAAUGCCCACCAAGCCAUUGAUCCGUAAGGGCUCUUAGCGGAGAGGCCCUGAGAGGGAAUCUGAGACACUAUUCCCAGCCCUACGGGGUGCAGCAGUUAGGAAUAAUCUACAAUGCGCGAAAGCGUGAUAGUUCGAAUCAGAGUGCGUUCCAACAGGAAUGCUUUUGUGGAAUCUAAAAAGUUCUACGAAUAAGGACUGGGUAAGACUAGUGCCAGCCGCCGCGGUAAUACUAGCGGUCCAAGUCGCAGCCAUUUUUAUUGGGUCUAAAACAUCCGUAGCUUGCUUAGUAAGUUCCUUGUGAAAUUCCAUAUCUCAAGUAUGGAGCGGGCAGGGAGUACUGCUGUAGCUAGAGACUGGAAGACGUAACGAGUACGUUCUAAGUAGCGGUAAAAUGUGUUAAUCUAGGACGGACUAACAAUAGCGAAGGCACGUUACGAGGACAGUUCUGACAGUAAGGGAUGAAAGCUAGGGGCGCAAAACGGAUUAGAUACCCGUGUAGUCCUAGCCCUAAACACUGCACACUAAACAUCAGUACCUCUUCGAGAGGUAUUGGUGCUGAAGGGAAGCCGAAGAGUGUGCUACCUGGGAAGUAUAGUCGCAAGGCCGAAACUUAAAGGAAUUGGCGGGGAGACACUACAACGAGUGACGCGUGCGGUUCAAUCAGAUUCUACACCGUGAACCUCACCAGGAGCGACAGCAGAAUGAAGGUCAGUCUGAAGGGCUUACCUGACACGCUGAGAGGAGUUGCAUGGCCAACGUAAGCCUGUGCCGUGAGGUGACCUGUUAAAUCAGGUAACAGGCAAGACCCACAUCCAUAUUUUUAUUUAAUCGAUAUGGAGAUUGCCUUGGAAACAAGGAUGAAAGCGUGGGCUACGUUAGGUGGUACAGCCUGAAUCCCCUGGGCAACACGCGCGCGUCAAUGGCGAAUACAACGGGAAGCGACUCCGAAAGGAGAAGCCAAUCUCUUAAAGUUCGUCUUAGUACAGAUCGAGGAUUGUAACUCAUCCUCGUGACGCUGGAAUUCGUAGUAAUCGUUUGUUAACAACGAACGGUGAAUAUGUCACGGUCUCUUGCACACACUGCCCGUCAAAUCAACCGAGUUUGGUUAUGGUGAAACCUUUAGAGGGAGAACCUUGAUCAGACAAGGUAGGUU